CAGCUUAACUGUAGAACUGCCGUUGAUACUGCUAGUCUUGAGUAUAGUUGAGGUAGCUGGAAUGAGUAGUGUAGCGGUGAAAUGCAUAGAUAUUACUCAGAACACCGAUUGCGAAGGCAGGUUACCAAGUUAUAACUGACGCUGAGGGACGAAAGCGUGGGGAGCGAACAGGAUUAGAUACCCUGGUAGUCCACGCCGUAAACGAUGCUAACUCGUUUUUGGGCUAUAUGGUUCAGAGACUAAGCGAAAGUGAUAAGUUAGCCACCUGGGGAGUACGACCGCAAGGUUGAAACUCAAAGGAAUUGACGGGGGCCCGCACAAGCGGUGGAUCAUGUGGUUUAAUUCGAUGAUACGCGAGGAACCUUACCAAGGCUUAAAUGGGAAUUGACAGCUGUAGAAAUACGGUUUUCUUCGGACAAUUUUCAAGGUGCUGCAUGGUUGUCGUCAGCUCGUGCCGUGAGGUGUUAGGUUAAGUCCUGCAACGAGCGCAACCCCUGUCACUAGUUGCCAUCAUUAAGUUGGGGACUCUAGUGAGACUGCCUACGCAAGUAGCGAGGAAGGUGGGGAUGACGUCAAAUCAUCACGGCCCUUACGCCUUGGGCCACACACGUGAUACAAUGGCCGGUACAGAGGGCAGCUACACUGCGAAGUGAUGCAAAUCUCGA
rnacentral:rRNA from 1 species